UUUACUGGCUGGUAAAGAAUGAGAUUGCUCACCACACCAACUACCCUAAGCUUUUAAGUUUAGCUCAGCUUUUGGGUUGUGAUUAUUUCGAAAAGCUGAAGGUGGAUCAAAGAAACAAUUAUCAAUCCCACAGGAUAGUUGAUGAAAUGCUGGAGAUCCUUGCUCAGAUUGUAGAAUUGCCUAUUUUGCAAGAUAUAAGGUCCUCUAAUGCAAUCAGCCUAGAGGUGGAUGAGACAACAGAUGUAUCUGUAAACCGCCAGCUGGAUAUCCAUGUUAGACACCUUGAUAAAGAUGGUUGCGUUUUCAACCACUUCCUUGAUCUGGUCACUCUGGAAGAUGGGAAAGCUGACAGUGUUGUUGCUGCCAUCAAGACUGUCCUAGAGAAG